CCCACGCUGAGGGAGCUACGCUACCAUUAGUCGCGUUUUGGUGAAGUUGCGAGAAGGAACUGCUGCCGGUCGUUUUUUUAUUAGCUUUGGGUGACAUUUUGUGUGAGUCGAAAAAGAAAUUUGUGUGUGUGUGUGUGUGUGUGUGUUUAUAGAAGGCGUUCCAGCUGAAAUAUUUUGGGAAUUUUGGUGAAUAUUUUGCGUGUGUGUUGAUGGAAAGCGAUUCCGGCGGAUUGGGUGGCGAAACUGUGUGUGUGUUUGUUUAUGGAAAGGGAAAAAUCUAUUAGCCCCCGCUAGGGGGACUCUCUCUCGCGCCUACCAGCAGCCGCCAGCCGGCCAUGUUGUUGACAAGUGAUAGUUCGUCGUCAUGUCUUUUCAUUGGAAUUUUCAAUUUUCAUGUCUUCUCAGCACACUUGUAGCUGCCUACAUACAUGAAGGUGUAUCAAAGACAGAAGAUCUUGGAUCAGAUGCUCAAUCUUGCCACUACUCGUGUAUCAUCCAAGCUUUCAUGUGUGUUGAUGGAAAGCGAUCUGUAGAUUUGCAUUUAGACUGACUGAGAGCUAUCAGUUUGUCCAUUCGAGAAAAAUAAAAGGCCAACACCAUGGUUAAAAAAAGGGUUUUUGUUGACCAUUCUCAAACUUGCCACUACUCGUGUAUCAUCCAAGCUUUCAUGUGUGUUGAUGGAAAGCGAUCUAUUUGCAUUUAGACUGACUGAGAGCUAUCAGUUUGUCCCUUCGAGAAAAAUAAAAGGCCAACAUCAUGGUCAAAAAAGGGUUUUUGUUGACCAUUCUCAAACUUGCCACUACUCGUGUAUCAUCCAAGCUAUCAUGUGUGUGGAUGGAAAAUGAUCUGUAGGUUAUUGCAAUAGUUUUCAUUAUUCUUGGUUUAUUUCUAAUUUUGAUUUUGCUUUAGAUUUGCAUUUAGACUGACUGAGAGCUAUCUGUUUGUCCUUUCAA